rnacentral:lncRNA from 1 species
CCAAACUUAGGCUGGGCUCCAUUUUUUGCCACGCAUGUGAAGAACGCUGUUAUUAGAUGAACACAAUAAAAGGAAAACCACGCUUUCCUGGUCUCGGUAGAUAAUACUCAUUGGAGAAGAAAGCUGGAAGCAAACCAGAUAAAAACACAAACGACACGAUGAUCUGACACUCCUGUGGCUUUACGUAACGCUGUCUAUUAUUUGUGUAUCCUCUGUUUACAGGGAGUGUGAGCAGUCCCACCCUUGCUCAGGCCAGCCUGGCUUCCUCUGCUCCCCAAAGCUCGGUAGCAUCGCUGGGGAGUUACGUUUUUGCUAUGAAAUAAGAGUCAGCCUCUCUAGAGUUAUUUAUUACUUCUCUCAUCAAUUCACAAAACGUGUCCCUUCUCAAGGGAUGGAAUUUGAAGACUGCUUUGUAUUUUUAGAUGAUUGUGCCGGGCCUUUAAUUAUUUUGAAGUCUGGCUCUCAGUAGACAUCAAUGGGGAGGGAACUCUGCCUACAAUGCUAAUGGCCACAGCACUGUCUGAAAUUCUCACUCUUGAUCGUAUGCGGCUUCAGAACGAUUUCACAGUGUUUUAGAAGGCAGAAUUUCUUGUUAUUUGAAUGUGCUCUUAUUAACCAUGCAUGGAUUGAUUUCCCGUUACGAUUGUGGUCAGUGACUUUGGAAAAAAGGGAGGGUUUGGGACCUUGAUUUUCACCAUUACUGUACUUUUCAUUGAAGCUGGAGCUGUCACUGGGGUGAGGAUUUUUGCCUAUCCCGAAGCAAUUGACUGGAGCCACCUCACACACGCUUGGUUUGGAACCAAAAGAUGCCAUGUUUUGUACCUUCUGUAGGUCUAUGCUACUGAAAGCUUGGAGCUUUUCCCUGGACCUGCAAUAAAAUAUCUCCAGGUUGAAUUGCAGUUAUCAUUGGCCACUCCGGAAGACGUGAUUUGUUAAGUCCCAGUUAACCAAAAUACGUGCUUAACUUUAAAUGCAGUCUAGCAAGUCACUUAAGGAUAUGCUGAACCGAGUGGGGCUUCUGUAUCCAGUGAAGCGUGGGGUGAGUGCUUGGGUGGAUUAGGGCCUCAGUUCUCAUCUUUUCAUUUUAGCUUAUACUUGUUCAAGCUAGGUGUGUCUUGGAGUAAACCCAGCAAAGCACAUGCCUGGACAUAUGAUACUGUCUUUCAGCUCUUACAGCUGAAAAUUUAGGAAGAGUUCAUGGUCUGAUGGCAUUCCUGUACCAUCGCUCAGGCCUGAUGGCUUGCUUCUUUGUUUUUAGUUUUUCCUGCUGCGUUCAGGAGAACAGGUUUUUCAGGCUUCCUCAGGUCAGGGAUGCACACCCUGUGCUACCAGGAAGAGACCUUUCAAUGAAUGCUGGAUCAAACGCUUCAAAUCUCUUUUAAAGAGAAAUCCUCCUGUAAGUAGAAACUCAUUGAUUCCAUUGGUCUUCAGCAUCCUUCCUUUCUGGUUUGCUCUCUGCAGCUCUGCUUCUAUCCUGGAGUUGUUCUCGUUCCUUGGGGUCUUCUUUUUUCACUUGGUUGUAGGAAUACAAAUUGGAAACAAGCCCAUAAAAACAGCAGAAUCGUGAGGGUUUUAAACCAUAAGAGAUGAGGAGAGGAUGGGGUCUCUGUGCAGUGGGAGCAGCAGGCAGAUGGGAUUUGCAGGUAGUGAGGAGUUAGAAAGAGUGGUCAACCUUCCUCUGGGCCUUACUGUCCGUAUUGCUUUGCUAAAUAAAAUGGUUCCGUGCAGUCCUGUUGCUAACCUUCUGUACGUUCAGUCUUGCUAAACUCAAGUGGCAUUACCGACAGAGCAAAAGGAGGAGGUGGCAGCUCUACUGGGGCAGAUGUCAGCAGUGCCAGUGCUGCUGUGCACUUCUAUGGAUUUCUUCUUGCCAAAGCUCAGAACAGAAUCGGUACAUAUGCUGACCAGGAUGAGGAUAAUUUCAUGCCCGUAGCCUGGUGUGUUUGGUACAGACAGCACAUGCUGGAGUAAUACCAGCGUAGCUAAAAUAAUGGCUUCAUAUUUAAGAGGGCUGCUCUGAAAGUAAUGCCUCCAGUUCCAUGAUGUUGGCCCGUGCCAUCAGAGGCGGGUGUCGGUAUGGCAGGAGAGGUUGAACCUUCCACCAAUAUCCCGUUAAUUCUGCUGCUGUGUGACAGAUGGCAGCAGAGGGGCAGCCUGACAAAUGACGUCUGACAUGGAAGUGCAGACGAAGCAUCUGUUGUAGUUUCCAUGGGAAUAAAUAGGAGGGAUUACUUUCAGAGCAGCCUUUGUAUUCUGAAAUAACUUUUCUGCCCUGCCCAGCAUCACACAGACCUGUGCUGUAGGAGCUGCCUGAGGUGGGAGGUUGGCAGCUGCCCAUCACCUGGUUCUUGGCCUUGGAGACUCCAUUUCCUCCUGGCCCCGUCUGCUGGUCCUUCUUGGUGUAUGCUGAAAGAAAGUCUGUACUUAAACUUGAAGCUUGGUAGCAAAUUGAGAAAUGCAUCUUUUGCAUUUUAAUAGCAAGGAGUGAUGACUUUUGGCCAAAAAAAAAAAAAAAAAAGGCCGGGAUAGGCCUUAUUUAUGAAAUACUCCCAAGAAUUUUCUCCAGUCUCUUUUUUCACGGGGUUAAUAAGUUCUCUGCUAUCGCAGUUCAGUUGUUAGAGCCUCAGCGAGAGAAGGACUAGGCUCGUUUUUAUUUAGUUAUGGGGAAUGUCAUCGAAAAGGUAAGGUGUGUUUGGGUGGGAAGGAAUGAACCUCGAAGCCAUCAGGGCCAUUUUGAGGGCCCUUUCUUGGAUACUGCUUUCAGACGUGGUCAGUCUGAGGCCGGUUGGCCCUUUCAGUGCAGGAGAUCAGUCCCACAGCUCCCGGGCACCACCGGCAAGGCCAAAUGUUGACGUGUUCCUUAAAGAAGGGAGGCAUGACAUGACCCCAGGAGGCUGGAGCACGGCGUGUUGGCUGUGCUGUUGGGAGGGAGGGAGGAGGUGGGCGAUGGGUGGGGAAGGCAGACAAAAAAAAUCCCCAAAAUUGGUACAUUUGGAGUAUUAUUUUGAAGCUGCAGUGUGAGGUUGUCUGAAAUGCUGGAUUCACAGCUGUUCGAUGGAUGGUGUAUAAGAGCAUAACCCAUUUUUAUAGAAUUGUUUCUCCUUUAUUGCUUAAGGCUAAUGGAGGAAAUAGUCUAAUUUUGUCUUAGAAAUUCUCUAUUAAAAUUGUUGGUUUGAGUCCAUCCGCUCAUAGAUUCUGACUGAUGAAACUGCAGGCUGUGAUAUCCGGCAGUUAUAACUUUAUCACUAUUCACUACCCAAGAAUAUUACGGCUUUAAAACAGCCUUAAGCAAAAGGAUGUGAUUUCUUUAUACCGAAUUUGGAUCAUGGAAAAGGAGAAAAAAAAAACAAAAAACAAAAAACCCAACCAUAAAUAAAAAUCAAAACACUGGUAAUCCGUACUGCAUAGCAAACUCUUCUGAAAGAUGUUAUUGCACAUGUAAAAUAUGGAAACUUGACUCUGCUGUGUGUUAGGCAAUCCUGUACUCUUUUUUUUUCCUUCCUCCUUGUUUUUUUUUUUUUUUUGUUUUGGGAUUCUUGUUAAAAUUCAUUUUCUUAAAUGCUUGGUUGGAAGACUGUGACAAUAGCUCAUGAAAUUGAGUGUUAUUUUUCUUUCUUUUUUUUUUUAAUAUGUAAAGUGCAGUCUUCUGUAUUCAUGCAUAUUGUACAUAUCUGUAUAUGUUUUACUGAGCAACUAAAUAACAAUAAAUAUGAUGUUAAUGGUGGCUAUUGUAUAUGUCACGCCAUGUUCUUUGAUUCUUGCAGCAGGUCCUUUUUCCCCUAGGAUGUGAAGAAUGUGAAGAAGGUGCUGUUCCCAUGUAGGUAAACCCUGGGCCUCGUGAUGGUCGGGACAAAUCUCAGCAGAAUGUGGGAGAUCCUCUCUAACCAUUGGCUUCCCUCAGCGGUACGGCUUCACCCAGAGCCAGGUUACUGCAGCAAGGUGUGGUCGUCUUAGUUGUGGAACAGUUUGGGUUGGAAGGGACCAUUAAGACCAUCCAGUUCCAACCCCCUGCUGUAGGCAGGGACAUCUCCCACUAGACCAGGUUGCUCACAGCCCCAUCCAGCCUUGUACCUCCAGGGAGGGGGCAUCCCUUGCCCAAGUGUUCGCUAGGCUUUGCUGGCUCAGUUUCUGCAUGUAUUGAAGCUUCUUCCUUCCCUGUGUCAGCCGGGAGCUGAAUCCUUAACAGAACUUCUCCAGGCAAGAUUUUGAGCUAAAUUCUGUGAGUAAAAAACAAACAGGGAAGAUCCCUUCAUCUCUGUUAUUCAAAUUUCGGACUCUUAAUCCUUUCGUAUCCUAACAUCAGAACACGGUUCUGAACCCAGGGAACGGCCUUGCUUAUCUUUCUCAGAG